GUGAGGAAUAUUGCGCAAUGGAGGCAACUCUGACGCAACCAUGCCGCGUGCAGGAAGAAGGCGCUACGCGUUGUAAACUGCUUUUAACCGGGAAGAAACCCCAGGACGUGUCCUGGGUUGACGGUACCGGAGGAAUAAGCACCGGCUAACUUCGUGCCAGCAGCCGCGGUAAUACGAAGGGUGCAAGCGUUAUCCGGAUUCAUUGGGUUUAAAGGGUGCGUAGGCGGAGCGUUAAGUCAGUGGUGAAAUCCUGCAGCUUAACUGUAGACUUGCCAUUGAUACUGGCGCUCUUGAGUGCGCUUGAAGUGGGCGGAAUGUGCCGUGUAGCGGUGAAAUGCUUAGAUAUGGCACAGAACACCAAUUGCGAAGGCAGCUCACUAAGGCGAUACUGACGCUGAGGCACGAAAGCGUGGGGAUCGAACAGGAUUAGAAACCCGGGUAGUCC
rnacentral:rRNA from 1 species